rnacentral:rRNA from 1 species
UAAGGAAUAUUGCUCAAUGGGAGAAAUCCUGAAGCAGCAACGCCGCGUGGAGGAUGAAGGGUCUAUGACUUGUAAACUCCUGUAAAGAAGGAAAAAAUUCCCAUUUGAUGGGAGAUGAUGGUACUUCUGGAGUAAGCCCCGGCUAACUACGUGCCAGCAGCCGCGGUAAUACGUAGGGGGCAAGCGUUGUCCGGAUUUACUGGGUGUAAAGGGUGCUCAUGCGGAUUUGUAAGUCAGAGGUGAAAGCUUACAGCUUAACUGUGAAACUGCCUUGGAUACUGCAAGCCUAGAGUAUGGAAGAGCGUGAUGGACUAUCUGGUGUAGCAGUGAAAUGCGUAGAUAUCAGCUAGAACACCAAUGGCGAAGGCAGUCACUUGGUCCAUUACUGACGCUAAAGCACGAAAGCGUGGGUAGCAAACA